rnacentral:lncRNA from 1 species
AUUGGAAUUUGAAGAUAUUAGAAUAUGAAGAAAAUGAAAUCUGUCAUGUGUUUGGUUGGCUGGAAUUGGAAUGGAAUACAAUUCCGUUCCAUUGUAUAUUUUUGUUUGGUUUGUGAAGCUGUCAAAGGAUUUGGAUUUUGGAAUGCAAAUAAUGAAAAUAACAUAAGGGCCUUUUAUUGAUUUCUUGUGCAUAAAAUGUAUUUAAAUGUUUGUAAAGGUCAGUAAAUGGCCAUGCUAUUAAGUUUUUUGGCCACAAAGUUAUUUAAAUAGUUGUGAAAAUAUUUAAAUUACCCUUUUAAUAAUUUCUUGUUCAUGAAAAUUUUAGAACUAUUUCUAUCUAAAAUAUUAUUUAUGCAUGAUAAAUUUAUCGAAACAUGACAACAAAUUACGAAACAAAUAUGAGGAUUUACAAAGGGUAUUUCAGCCAUUUAUACAUAUGAGGAUUGGAAUUAAAUUCCAUGAGUUGUAGGAUUUUGUGAAUUUAGAUGAACUUAAACUUCUUAGUCAUUUCCAGCCCAAUGCCAGAAUGGAAUGGAAUGGAACUACAUUCCAAUCCUGGCUGAUUCCUAAGGAAUCCUUAGAUUCUUUUGCAUAUUUGCCAAUGUAAUUAGGAUAUUGACAAACAAACCAAUGAAACCAAAUUAAUUCAACAACAAUGCCAAGAAAAUAAAAGUACCUCGUCCAAUGGUGAUGAUUGAAGGCUAAUCUUGAUUGAAUCAAGGAUGGAAUCAUGUAAUGAUUGAAGAGCAGAUUUUUCUGUCACACUGAAAUCCAAUUCCUCUACUGACAACACUCUUCGG